CCUACGGGAGGCAGCAGUAGGGAAUCUUUCACAAUGGGCGAAAGCCUGAUGGAGCAACGCCGCGUGCAGGAUGAAGGCCUUCGGGUUGUAAACUGCUUUUAUAAGCGAGAAAUAUGAUGGUAACUUAUGAAUAAGGAUCGGCUAACUACGUGCCAGCAGCCGCGGUCAUACGUAGGAUCCGAGCAUUAUCCGGAGUGACUGGGUGUAAAGAGUUGCGUAGGUGGCAUAAUAAGUAGCUAGUGAAAUCUGGUGGCUCAACCAUUCAGACUAUUAGCUAAACUGUUAAGCUCGAGACCGUUAGGGGUAACUGGAAUUUCUAGUGUAGGAGUGAAAUCCGUAGAUAUUAGAAGGAACACCAAUAGCGUAGGCAGGUUGCUGGGACGGUUCUGACACUAAGGCACGAAAGCGUAGGGAGCAAACGGGAUUAGAAACCCGAGUAGUC
rnacentral:rRNA from 1 species